rnacentral:lncRNA from 1 species
AGCGAACCAGUCUUGUGACAUCUUCCUAGGAGUGCUCCAAAUCUCCCAACUGCUUCGCUUGUUGGCUGACUCCUCGUCCUCCACCUCAACAGCCAGAUACAGGCAAGCAAGCAGCAAGACGGCCUCAAAGCUUCAAUCUCUGUUGCUGGUCCCUUCGCCAUCUGAUCAACCAAACACCUAUUGUCUUCCGCCUCCUGGACGACCUGAUAGGGGCUGCAACGAGGCUCCAGAGUCUCCACCAAUUUUGCUCCUCUUCGUCCUUGCUGAAUGAUGCUUCAUCGCAUAUCAUUUUUGGUGCUAGAAUUUGUGGUUGUUCCAUAGUCGAUCAAGCCAUGUAUCAGUGCUUAGGUAAUCUUUGUACUGAUAUAUCGAGAAAGCAUCGUGCUUUGCCUAUUCACUUCUAUACAAGCUAAUCUGUAAUUGGCAGUGGUUACUGAAUAUUUUUAUCCCUGUUAGUCAAAGCUAAUAUAAUGUGACUUGCCAACUUUCUGCUGAAUGUAUUGUUGAAAAACAAAUCCAAGGGAAUUAUUAUUUGGCAUCAAAUUAAGGAAUGUCCUGCAUGAACUUUUUUGUUUACCAUGUCCUGUCUUUUUUAUAUUCUUUAUGAACUAUAUCUCCUGAUAUUAUAAGUAUUACCUUACAGGGUGAUACUGUUACAACGAGUGAGACAAUGAAAAUGUAUUGUAGAAGUUACUUAGCAAGGAGGGAAACAAGUCGAUCUCUCUUUUUCUAAGAAGCUACUUCUCCACCAUGGAACAAUGAUGUUGCAUUUUACUGCAUCAAACAGAUAAGUUAUUUUUGCAAGGCGUGGUGAAGCUGAGAAAGCAUCGUGCUUUGCCUAUUCACUUCUAUACAAGCUAAUCUGUAAUUGGCAGUGGUUACUGAAUAUUUUUAUCCCUGUUAGUCAAAGCUAAUAUAAUGUGACUUGCCAACUUUCCGCUGAAUGUAUUGUUGAAAAACAAAUCCAAGGGAAUUAUUAUUUGGCAUCAAAUUAAGGAAUGUCCUGCAUGAACUUUUUUUUGUUUACCAUGUCCUUUCUUUCUUAUAUUCUUUAUGAACUAUAUCUCCUGAUAUUAUAAGUAUUACCUUAUAGGGUGAUACUGUUACAACGAGUGAGACAAUGAAAAUGUAUUGUAGAAGUUACUGAGCAAGGAGGGAAACAAGUCUAUCUCUCUUUUUCAAAGAAGCUACUUCUCCACCAUGGAACAAUGAUGUUGCAUUUUACUGCAUCAAACAGAUAGGUUAUUUUUGCAAGGCAUGGUGAAGCAAUGAAAAAUAUAACAAUGUGUGUUUUGAUGUCAUCUCUACGAGAACAGAGAUACCUGAGACUUACUUUGCUAAGAGGUAUGUUCCACCGGCUGCAUCAAUUGUGAAUUUCCAUAGCAACUUGAAUAUCUGCAUUUUUAUCUCUGCUAGAAUUGUGCACACAGCUUGUUGGUCGUACGUGAUGUUAAAUGUAAGGGGUGGCUGGAUGGUGAAACUAUAAUUGUUCAGUAUAACUAAUAAUUAUGCAUUGUAAAAGAGCACUCGCAUGAAUUUUUGCCAACAUUUAAAGAGACAUUAUAAUACCCAUAUGGUGCUUUUGUUUUUGCAACUAAACAUCAGUUAGUAAGCUAACAAAUGCAAUUAUGGAUCUUGGACUAAGAAUUCCUAUGUACGUAUGAUUACGUUAUUCAGCACAAUUUGUGAGUUAGGGUUGUUUUGCUGCUAUGUUGACAAUUCCUGAUGGAAGCUUACCUAGAUCAUAUCCUUGACUUGUGAAGGUUUCCCUCCUUUUUUUCUGUUGAUAACUGUGGGAAACUGCAAAAAAACUCAUGCAUUCAUGCUCUCCUGAAUUAUUGGAAACCGAAUGACUCUUCUGUGUGCACAUUGCUUGCUAUUUUCCAUUGUUACCAACAAAAUAAUAUGAAUUGUCAUUGUCAAUGCACAGAGAGCACUAGAUAGUUUUUAUUCGAGACAAGCACUAGAUACUUGUGCUAAUUAAUAGCAGGCAACUCAAUUGUUGCCUAGACCAAGUGCUAAUUAUUUUUUUCUUCUCUAUAUGAUUUGUCUUGCGCCGAUUAUAUGUUGAAUAUGUGAAUGGAGUUCUUGUUUAUAUCGGCGAAACGAACUAGCCAUUUUAGCAAAGGAAGCAGGAGGCAAGUUCUGAAGUUGAGCACCUCAGCGCCAUAAAAGAAUUAGGACAAAUACGAAAGCAACGUGUAAUGAUCUGUUAUUGUAACAAUGCAUGGACAUUAUUAAUAUUAUACCUACUGUAAGUAAGCGUAGAGUAUGUAUAUAUGCUAUUUGAAGAUAAAUAUAUUAUAAUAUUAUUGUUUUAGCUGAUGGUACACUCGCUUUACAUAGAUUAAUGGUUGUGAUUAGGCUUAAAAAUUUGAAUGUUCAUGAGUUGAGUUAUUUACAUAACUAAUACAGAUUUGCCAUUUAUCCAUAUGUUUUUAGCACUAAUAUGUGUUUAGUGAAGAGAAAGUGCAGUACUAGAGAUUAUCUCCAAGUCUUUAGGUAGAGAAAUUUCAUAAUGGAACAUCCUUUGUACUUGUCAUCUUAUUUAUGAGUAUGAUGGCACUUUGAUGACAUGAGUUUCCAGUUUAAUUUUGGGAUUGUUCAGAAAGGAAUUCCUAACAUCCAGCUAAUAGCAUCAUAAGAAUUAUUAUUAUUUUCCUUACCAAUAACGGUGCCAUGUAAACGUACUAGCUACACAUGCUGACUAAUAAUACAGUGAUUAAGAUUCCCUAGCAGUUGGGAUUGCAUCUUGAUGUCACUGUCACUUCAGAUUUUUGCUUUGAUAGGGCACGAUUGAGCAUCUCAUAACCCUAAAAGGUGCUCUUUUUUGUCAAAACGAACGAUACAAAAAAUGGUAUAAAUUGACCUAGAUUUUAUUUUCCUUCUUGCAUUCAUUGACUCUAGCAUGGAAGGACAAAGUAUGAACAAUGUUUGAAAUCUGAGUGUAAUGUUUGAUCAUUAUGGCAUUGUUCUAUUAUUUGUCGUGAGUUUGAUUUAGGUUUUGUUCUGGAAUAUAUUGUCAGAUUUUCCACUAGGUGAAAAUGUUAAUUGCAAGUAAAUUAUACCAUUUGGAUCUAUUUUUUGCUGCUACCAUUUGAACUACCUCAGUUAUUAUCUUUGUUACCAACUCAAGUUGGAAAUAAUUAAAUUAUGCAGGCUUCUCAUGCAUGAUUGUUUUUGUGGAAAUUAUUAUUCUAUCAUAUGAUAAAAUGGGAAUCUUGUGAACAUAAAUCCAUCUUAACAUCCAUGUUUGGUGUCUUAAUAUUUAUGAAUUACCGUAUAAUUUAACCAUCAAAAGAGACGGGCGCAGCAACGCGCGCCAUCAAUGAUCUAGUUAACCAUAAAGUGGCACUUCUCCCAAUUCAAGACAAGAUUAGUUUCUUCACAUCUCUGCAAAACUCGAUCAAGGUUGCUCAAGCAAUCAUCAAAAGAAGUUUCAUAUACGGAGAAAUCCUCCAUGAAAACCUCAACAAUAUUUUCACAAAAAUUAGAGAAUAUAGCCAUCAUGUAUCUUUGAAAGGUAGCAGGUGCAUUGCAUAAACCAAAAGGCAUACAUCUAUAAGUAAAGGUACCGAAAUGGCAAGUAAAAGUGGUCUUUUCUUGAUCCUCUUUUGACACAGGUAUUUGAGAGAAACCGGAAUAACCAUCUAGAAAGCAAAAAUGUGUAUGUUUGGACAAUCUUUCUUGCAUUUGAUCAAUAAAAGGUAAAGGGUAAUGAUCCUUUUUAGUAGCUUUAUUUAAUUUGCGGAAAUUAAUUACAAUCCUAUAACCUGUAACAAUUUUUUGUGGGAUCAACUCAUCUUUAGCAUUAGGAACAACGGUAAUACCUCCCUUCUUAGGGACACUGUCGUGGUUUUGUCACGGCAGAUGUCCUAGUGAAAGGACUUAGUCGUGGAGCCAUCGCGAUGGGUUAGCUUAAAGGGGUUAAAGCACACAAAGGACGCAGAGAGUUUAUACUGGUUCGGCCCCUUGCGGUGAAGGUAAAGGCCUAAUCCAGUUGUUGUGGAAUUGCUAGGGUUUCGAUGACCAGGGAGCGAAUCCGCUAUACCUGGCUCUCGAGUUGUUGUUUGUUGUCCCUAAACCGCCGCCGGGUCGUCCCCUUAUAUACAUGGGUUGACGCCCGUCGGUUUACAGAAUCCCGAGUCCGGCUUAUAAACGUGUCCGGCUCGGUUUCUACCCUUUCUAUCUUACAACACAAGUUACAUGCCAUAUGGCGGUUUAUGUCUACAGGCUAUAACUCACCUUUGGGCCCUGGGCCUUCGUAAAGCGCCAUACUCCUUGUCUUCAUGGGCUUCAAAUAUAACUAACUCAUUAUGAGGAUAACCCGGCCUCUCCUGGCCGGUUUACAUCCAGUAGUAAUAUCCCCAACAUUAGGCCCCAGAUUGAUUUGAACUGGUUCAUGUCAAUCUUCAACUCUUGAGAAAAAUUCUUCCUUCGGCACCAUCACAUAAAUCUUCAUUAAUGAGCCUCCGACAAUCGAGGCGACAGCAGUCACAUAUCCAGCUUUGGGCUCCUCGAUUCUCGCGCCUGUCAUUUAUCUCUUCACCUUUAUAAAUAAGGCCGGGGGGUCUUUUUCAUUUCCCCCCUUGCCUCUUCGUCUUUCUUCUUCCUUGCGCCGACCUGACUGUCACACGCAGCCGCCGUCGUCAAGCUUCGCCCUCGUCUUCAACUCUGGCCGCUGCAUCAACCUGAUCGUACUAGAGAAACGCGGCGCUUCUGUGUUGUUCCAUCAGCAUCGGUAAUUUCCCCUUCCUUGCUCUAGAUCCACCAUUAGGGUUUCGGUGUUCAUCGGAGUUCAUUGAAGCUUCAACACCGUUCUUCCCUGUUCUUCUUAGUAUCAUAAACGGCUAGUUUAGAUCUGAUAUUUCUUGUGCGGCCGUAGCCAUAGUCCCCUUUUUCCUCAUUAUAGCAUCCCCUUCGUAUAGAAAGAAAUUCCUCUGAAUCUGAUGAACUGUUGAAACACCUGUAUUUUAGGUCUAAGUAUAUUUUGAUUUUCUGACAUGCCGCAGAUCUGAAUUUACCAUACCAGUCUGUGAAAACUGUUUUCCCCUUACUUAGUUACUUUAGAUCUGUACCUUUCAUACCAAUACAGGCGGUUUAUCUUUGUAGAAAAUGAUAAUUCGGUGGGUACCAUUAGUCCCCUCUUAAACCACCAAGGCAUUUAUCUUUAUAACUCCUCCAAUAUCAGACUCCGGUUUAACAAAUGUCAGACUCCGGUUUAACAAUGUGUAUAUGCCUCUAUUCUGCUUCUGGUCUUGCAUCGCUUUAUAUUUGUCCGUCAUAAAUCUUAAACCGGCAUUGAUCUUUUUCCAGCUUUUCAUUGAAAUGGCCAAACCAUUUUAUGCUUGUAACUGGGUUCCUUCCCGGGUUACGAAAGCGCAACUAGAGGGAUGUGUCGCCGCUGGCGCUUUAGCAAAGAAAGAAGUUAUCCAGUGGAGGGUCCCUGGCCCAGAAAAUCCUCCUGGGCCCAAGGACGGAGAAGUAGUCGUAUUUGUUGAUCACCUGAGCCGAGGGUUUAGCCCUCCCGGAUCAAAAUUCUUCCGAGAAGUACUUGCUAACUUCCAACUCCACCCUCAGGACAUUGGCCCAAACUCUGUGUCCAAUGUUUGUCAUUUCCAAGUAUUUUGCGAGGCUUAUCUUCAAGAGGAGCCCACAGUUGAACUGUUUAGGGAUUUCUUCUACUUAAACCGUCGUACAGAGUUUACAGACGGACCCAACACUGAACUUGGCGGCAUGGUGAUUCAAAAGAGGAAAGAUGUCAGCUUCCCUCACGCCAAGCUUCACAGUCACCCCAAGGACUGGAAUCAUACUUGGUUUUAUUGCAAAGAUACUUGUCCAACUAAUGAAAAUCCUCUGCCGGGUUACCGUCCUCAUCGUCUUAGCAAUACACAUCCCUUUCCUCAGAGAUUAACUGCGAAGGAAAGAUCCAACUACGCACCACAACUGUCAAAGCUUAGAGCCUUUGUGGCGAACGGUUUAACAGGUGUUGACUUUGUUCGCUGCUGGAUAUCCUGGAGCGUUCUGCCUUUAAGCCGGCGCCCUGGUUUAAUGUGUGAAUACACAGGGAGCUUGAAAGAUCCUCAGCGACAUGUCGACAUUCAGUUAACAGAAGCUGAAGUCACUGAGGCUGUCAAGAAAAUUUUGAAUGAACCGGAAACUGUGUGUAGCCAAACUGGAUUAAACCCCUUCUGCGUUUCCAAUAAACGCCAACUAUAAGAAUCAUAACUUUUUGUUUUAGCUUGCUCCUUUUUAAAUAUUGUCUCAAAAUUUUAUCAUCUUUGUCAGGGCGAUGAUCCGUUCUGGAAGAAAAAACCACAAGAUAAACCGGCAAAAACACCUCGCCCGAAGACCAAGGUUACCAAAAAACCUGCCAAGAAGAGGACCACAGCGUCUUCCGAACCAAAUGCUGAUGCUGACUUGGCUAAUCCGGACUCAGAGGUAGAACUUGACUCUCUUGGUUCAUUUUUCAUACACCUCAUUGACAAUGACUAUUAUCAGGACGACGCUGUAGGCAGCCAAGCUGAUGAUGUAGACGUAAUUAUCCUUUCCUCCGGUUCAGAUCCCCUUCCAACACAGAAAAUCCGUCAAGCAAACCGGAAAGUAAGAUUUUAUCACCCCCUAGCUUACUUGGACCCAAACUUUUUUUUGAAGAAGCAGCAACACGAAGCUCGCCGCACAACCCGUCACAGCGGCCAGGUAGUCACCUCAGCCGGUUUACCAAACACUCCAACCCGGAAAUGUUGAUCAGAUGUCUCUUAUAUUCCUGACACUUCCUACCCCAAGGCGGGUUGUUUCCGUCAGCCUCUUAAUCCGUCUGAUUCAAAUUAUCAGGGCACACCUCACUCAUCUUCUGCCGAGUCAUCGGCCACCCAGCUUCCUCCCCUCAAGACGGUUCCUCGGUGAGUCAUACUUUCAAAUUUUUAUUUUUAAUGCCUUAUGUUCACCUGACAUAUUGACCUUUAUAUUUGUUCUUCUCAGUGCCAAGCCUAGACCCAGCAAGAAGGCUCGGUUAAAUAAACCGGCUGAUGAUAAUGUGAUUAUUGAACCGGAGAAGACCCCAGAUCUGGAAGGAACAAAUACUGACGCUAUUCAUGAUGACCCGCCACCUCAAGAUUAUGAGUUCAUAGCUGAACAAGUAGAAGUUGACACCAAAGGUCACACUGAUAAACCGACUAGCCCGGCCCGCACGGAUGAUAAACUGGCCAGUCCAGCUAAGGCUGCUGAUAAAUCGUCAACUCCAGUAAAGGCUGCUGAUGAUAAAGAAGAUGAUAUUAUGAUUACUGGCGUCGGCCACACCGCUCCUGGCAAUCCUGUUGCCUUAUCGAAGCAUAGUGCCAAGGACGAGCUUUCUGCUAUGGGAAAAGGCAAAUGGAACACAAAUUUGUCAACCUAUGCCCACCUCAACGCCCAAGACAUCCAUUCUGGUUUUUUAAACCGUUUGUACACAAGCCGUGACUUUGAAGCCGGUUUAGUGAAUCUGAUGAAGGAGCGAUAUGAGGUAACUGCAUAACUGCUUCUCUCUUGUGUCCAAUUCCAAAUAUUAACUCCAGUAGCCCUCAAGUGUCGGUUUAUGAUACUCAUCUAAACUGGAACUUUGUAAUAUCUCAACUUUGCAUGCUUAUCCUCCAAGGGCCGGGUUAUCUUUUUAAGAUGAACCGGUACUUUUAGAAUUGUAAUAUUGUAACUUUCGCCGGUGUAGUCCCCAAGGGCCAGUUUAACUUAUGAAGAUGAACCGGGACUUUUAGAAGAAUACCCAUAAUAUUAUUUUGAGCAAACAUACAUUAGCCCUCAAGUGCCAAGAGUAAUACUUGUAUUGCGCUUGGGACUUGUAGAAAUUGCUGAUAACGAGCAAAUAUGCAUUAGCCCCCAAGUAUCAUGUGCAUAACUUGUUAAGUGCUUGGUACUUCAAAUAUGUACUGCCAACUCAUGAUAUGUCUGUCUCUUAUAGGCUGAGUUGAGCAAAAAGGAAACUCAAACCGCUGAUCUGCAAGAAAACAUCAAGUCCCAGCAAGCAGAAACCUCCAAAGCCAAAGAUGAGCUGACCAGUGCCUUAGCCGCUAUGGAAAAGCUGAAGGAGAGUUUCAACAAGGAGCGGGCAGAUUGGGACACAGAAAAAUCCGCAUUGCAAAAACGAGCUGAGGACGCAGAAGCAACUCUUAAAUCGGUGGUAGACGAGCUGACUGGUGUAAAGCGGCAAAUACAUGCCAUGACUGCUGCUGUGUUUGGUAAAUAUCCUGGUUUUAAGUUUUCAACAUAUCAUCCCAUACAUUGCCGGUUUACUGAUGUUUGUAAUGAUGCAAGAACUCGCAUUAGUCAUCUGGGCUCUGACGUACAGAAGAAGCUGAAGGCUGCCUAUACUCUUAUAGAGCAGUUAUAUACUGGCGCACAACGGAUCAUCUGCACUGCCUCUCACAACAAGCCACCCCCAACUUUAAUCAAGGAGACCUUAGAAAGGUUGUCAAUGUUGCCUGCCCGGGUAGAAGAGCUAAAGAGAUCUGCUGCUAGGGCUGGUGCUCUGACCGCGCUAACCCGGGCAAAAGCAUGGGUGCCUGAUCUUGAUCCGGUGUAUGUGGCUAAAGGCUAUCCAAGCUUAAAAGAAGACGGAUCGGAAUUUUGCAAUGAUGACCUCCGAGCCAUAAACCGGGAAGUACGUCCACUGGCUUGCCAACUAGCUGAAGAAGUUGAUCUUUCACAUUGCCAGGCAAGUUAUGACGUCAUCAACAAACGGGUUGCUGCACCAACUCCUGAGGCUCAAAAUCUUAUCCCGCCAAUUCGUAAGCACACCUAUGCCCUUGACGUUGAACCGUCCACACUUAUAUACGAUGAAGCUGUAUUCCAAGCCCUAACUGGGAUCGAUUGGGCAACCAUUGACUUCCAGCCGCUGGGUAGAGAAGAGGAGGAUGAACCGGCGCAAGAUGAUCCGCAGCAGUCAAGUCAGCCUGGUGAUGAGUCAUGAUCCAUUGGCCGGUUUAGCCUUCUGCAUACUGCAACACUUGCUGAAAACCAUUAUUGUUUUGGGCCCUGAAACGCCAUGUAAUAGGCUAGUUCAAACACCUGGUCUGCUAUGCCAUCGUGCAUAUUUAUUUUUGCCUGCACUAUUAAUCCGCCAUGCUUAAGAUAUAUUAUGCUCAUGAUCCAUAACAGUUUAUUCCAGUUGUUCCUACAUACAUAAAGUUUGAAAGUGUCCUGGCGGUUUACCACCGAACGGGUCAUGAUGCCCACAUAUAUAGCCAGGGUUUAUAACCAAGGCUGUAAAAGAUAAUCAAAUAUGAAAAUAAAUGAUACCUGUGACAUUGAAUCACAUCGUUGGUUGACCAACUUUUAUAGUAAGGGUGAUAACCUUAAUCUUGAGUACUGAUAACUCUUUCCGUAUUGUACCGGUUUAUGAUAAAACCGCACCGGGUUAUAAUAAAUGCCAGAUUCUCCAGAUAUAAUACUGGCGACUUAUAGUCGAAACCAGACCGGGUUAAUAAAUGCCGGAUUAUAAUUGAUCAUGUAUUGACAACUUGUAGUUGAAAGUCUGAGCCGGGUUAAUGUACGCCGGUUUAUCAAAAACAUUAUAAUGGAUAGGACUUACCCAUUGACUAUCAGCAACGGGAUAAAUUAUACCUGCCUCCAGAAGCUUUAGUAUUUCUUUUCUUACCACUUCUUUCAUCGUAGGAUUUAACCGUCGUUGGUGAUCAACAACUGGUUUAGCGUCUUUCUCCAAUUUUAUUUUGUGUUGGCAUAAAGCGGGACUAAUGCCCUUAAGAUCAUCAAGAGUAUAUCCAAUAGCAGCACGGUGCUUCUUCAGAGUUUUCAAUAAUUUUCUCUUCUUCUUGCUCUGAAAGGUUAGCACUAAUAAUAACAGGAUAUAUCUUCUUUUCAUCAAGAUAAGCAUAUUUAAGAGUAUCCGGUAAUGGUUUAAGCUCAAACACGGGAUCAACCUUGGGUGGAGGAGGAUCCCCUAGGAUUUCAACAUGCAAAUUGUGUUUCAAAAUAGGUCCCUGUUUAAAGAAUACUUAAUCUAUUUUCCUUCUUUCAUUCAUAAACAUAUCAUUUUCAUGGUCUAGCAAAUAUUGUUCUAAAGGAUCAUUAGGGGGCACGGCGUUAGAAGCAAGACCAAUAAUUUCAUCUUUACUAGGAAAUUCCUCAUCACGGGGUUGUCUACGAAAUUUAGCAAAAUUAAACUCAUGAGACAUAUCCCCAAACCAAUAGUAAAAACAUCAUUUUCGCAGUCUAUCCUAGCAUUAACAGUAUUCAAGAAGGGUCUACCAAAUAUAAUGGGACAAAAGUUAUCUUGUGGGGAACCAAGAAUAAGAAAAUCGGCAGGAUAUUUAACUUUCCCACACAAGACUUCAACAUCUCUAACAAUCCCAACUGGUGAAAUUGUGUCUCUAUUGGUGAUACGUCUCCAACGUAUCUAUAAUUUAUGAAGUAUUCAUGCUAUUAUAUUAUCCAUCUUGGAUGUUUUAUGGGCUUUAAUAUGCACUUUUAUAUUACUUUUGGGACUAACCUAUUGACCCAGAGCCCAGUGCCAGUUUCUGUUUUUUCCCCUUGUUUCAGUGUUUCGAAGAAAAGGAAUAUCAAACGGAGUCGAAACGGAAUGAAACCUUCUGGAGAAGUUAUUUUUGGAAGGAAAGCAACCCGGGAGACUUGGAGUGCACGUCAGGAAAGCAAUGAGGGAGGCACGAGGCAGGGGGGCGCGCCCUCCACCCUCGUGGGCCCCUCGUGGCUCCCAUAACGUACUUCUUUCACCUAUAUAUAUCCAUAUACCCUAAAACGACCGGGGAACAGAAUAGAUCGGGAGUUCCGCCGCCGCAAGCCUCUGUAGCCACCAAAAACCAAUCGGGAUCCUGUUCCGGCACCCCGCCGGAGGGGGGAUCCCUCACCGGUGGCCAUCUUCAUCAUCCCAGCGCUCUCCAUGACGAGGAGGGAGUAGUUCACCCUCGGGGCUGAGGGUAUGUACCAGUAGCUAUGUGUUUGAUCUCUCUCUCUCGUGUUCCUGAUUUGGCAUGAUCUUGAUGUAUCACGAGCUUUGCUAUUAUAGUUGGAUCUUAUGAUGCUUCUUCCCCCUCUAUUCUCUUGUAAUGGAUUGAGUUUUCCCUUUGAAGUUAUCUUAUCGGAUUGAGUCUUUAAUGAUUUGAGAACACUUGAUGUAUGUCUUGCCGUGCGUAUCUAUGGUGACAAUGGGAUAUCACGUGAUUCACUUGAUGUAUGUUUUGGUGAUCAACUUGCGGGUUCCGCCCAUGAACUUAUGCAUAGGGGUUGGCACACGUUUUCGUCUUGAUUCUCCGGUAGAAACUUUGGGGCACUCUUUGAGGUUCUACGUGUUGGUUGAAUAGAUGAAUUUGAGAUUGUGUGAUGCAUAUCGUAUAAUCAUACCCACGGAUACUUGAGGUGACAUUGGAGUAUCUAGGUGACAUUAGGGUUUUGGUUGAUGUGUGUCUUAAGGUGUUAUUCUAGUACGAACUCUAGGGCUGUUUGUGACACUUAUAGGAAUAGCCCAACAGAUUGAUUGGAAAGAAUAACUUUGAGGUGGUUUCGUACCCUACAAUAAUCUCUUCGUUUGUUCUCCGCUAUUAGUGACUUUGGAGUGACUCUUUGUUGCAUGUUGAGGGAUAGUUAUAUGAACCAAUUAUGUUAUUAUUGUUGAGAGAACUUGCACUAGUGAAAGUAUGAACCCUAGGCCUUGUUUCCUAGCAUUGCAAUACCGUUUGUGCUCACUUUUAUCGUUAGUUACCUUGCUGUUUUUAUAUUUUCAGAUUACAAAAACCUAUAUCUACCAUCCAUAUUGCACUUGUAUCACUAUCUCUUCGCCGAACUAGUGCACCUAUACAAUUUACCAUUGUAUUUGGUGUGUUGGGGACACAAGAGACUCUCUGUUAUUUGGUUGCAGGGUUGCUUGAGAGAGACCAUCUUCAUCCUACGCCUCCCACGGAUUGAUAAACCUUAGGUCAUCAACUUGAGGGAAAUUUGCUACUGUCCUACAAACCUCUGCACUUGGAGGCCCAACAACGUCUACAAGAAGAAGGUUGUGUAGUAGACAUCAAGCUCUUUUCUAGCGCUGUUGCCGGGGAGGCUAGGUAAGCGGCACUCACACCCCGUCAACUAAGCUCUUUUCUGGCGCCGUUGCCGGGGAGGNNNNNNNNNNNNNNNNNNNNNNNNNNNNNNNNNNNNNNNNNNNNNNNNNNNNNNNNNNNNNNNNNNNNNNNNNNNNNNNNNNNNNNNNNNNNNNNNNNNNGUUGCCGGGGAGGCUAGGUAAGCGGCACUCACACCCCGUCAACUAAGCUCUUUUCUGGCGCCGUUGCCGGGGAGGUGAGUUCUUGAAGGUAUAUCUUUAGAUCUUGCAAUCGAAUCUUUUUGUUUCUUGUUUUAUCACUAGUUUAGUUUAUAAAAGAAAACUAAAAAAUGGAAUUAAGGUUGCCUCAUAUGCUUCAUCUUUUUAAUGUCUUUCGUGAAAAUGAUGGGAAGGAACAUUGUGCUCAAGUACUAGAAGAAGAAUUACAUAGAAUGCUGGGCAUAAAAUAUGUGAAUGAUGAGCAUGAUUGCAAUGUUCUUAGUAUGAAUUCUUUGAAUACCCAUGAUGCUAAUAAUGUGCAAACCAACAAGCUUGGGGAUGCUAUGUUUGAUGAAGAUGAUAUGUUUAGUCCCCGAAGUUUUGAUGAGCAAAUUUAUUAUGAUGAAAGCAUGCCUCCUAUUUAUGAUGAUUAUUGUGAUGACACGUAUGCUAUAAAGAAUAAAGAUAACCAUGAAACUUGUCAUCAUGAUUUUAAUUUUCAAUUGGAUUAUGCUUCACAUGAUAGUUAUUUUGUUGAGUUUGCUCCCACUACUAUUGAUGAGAAUAAAUUUGCUUAUGUGGAGAGUAGUAAAAUUUCUAUGUAAGUAGAUCAUGAAAAGAAUGCUUUAUGUGAUAGUUAUAUUGUUGAAUUCAUUCAUGAUGCUACUGAAAAUUAUUAUGAGGGAGGAAUAUAUGCUUGUAGGAAUUGCAAUAAUAUCAAGUUUCCUCUCUAUGUGCUUAAAGUUUUGAAGUUAUGCUUGUUUUGCCUUCCUAUGCUAGUUGAUUAUUGUUCCCAUAAUUUGUUUGCUCACAAAAUCCCUAUGCAUAGGAAGUGGGUUAGACUUAAAUGGUUUGCCAUGUGUUUCAUGAUGCUCUCUUUAUGUUUUAAUUCUUAUCUUUUAUGUGAGCAUCAUUGAGAUCAUCAUGCCUAGCUAGGGGCGUUAAACGUUAGCACUUGUUGGGAGGCAACCCAAUUUUAUUUUUGUUCAUUGCUUUUUGUUCCUGUUUUGUAAUAAAUAAAUUAUCUAGACUCUGGUUAUAUGUGGUUUUAUGUUUUAGUUAGUGUUUGUGCCAAGUAAGACCUAUAGGAUCUUUUUGUUCCAAGUAAAACAUUGAGGCCCAACAACGUCUAGAAGAAGAAGGUUGUGUAGUAGACAUCAAGCUCUUUUCUGGCGUCGUUGCCGGGGAGGCUAGGUAAGCGGCACUCACACCCCGUCAACUAAGCUCUUUUCUCGCGCUGUUGUCGGGGAGGCUAGGUAAGCGGCACUCACACCCCGUCAACUAAGCUCUUUUCUGGCGCCGUUGCCAGGGAGGUGAGUGCUUGAAGGUAUAUCUUUAGAUCUUGCAAUCGAAUCUUUUUGUUUCUUGUUUUAGCACUAGUUUAGUUUAUAAAAGAAAACUACAAAAAAAUGGAAUUGAGUUUGCCUGAUACGCUUCAUCUUUUUAAUAUCUUUCGUGAGUAUGAUGGAAAGGAAAAUUCUGCCAAAGUGUUAGAAGAAGAAUGCAUUAAAAUGUUUGGCACUAAAUCUUUGAAUGAUGAGCAUGAUUGCAAUGUUGUUAGUAUGAACUCCUUGAAUAUCCAUAGUACUAAUGAUGAUUGCACUAGUCAUGAUGACAAUAUCUCCUAUAAACAUGUCAAUUUUUGUGGAGUGCAUUGGGUUUGCAAGUACACACCAAAUAGGGAAGAUAGAUAUUGCAAGAGGCAUGAGCAUUUAGAAACUAAAUGGUUGCAAGAAAGGCUAAAUGUUAGUGCUGAAAAUUUAAAAUAUCUUAGCCGUACUUGUGAACUUUGCAAUGAAUAUGGUCAUUUAAAUAUCAAAUGCAAAUUUUUUCAUGAUCGAAUCUUGUCCAAAAAUUGUGAUGACUUGAUUUCCCUUGCACAUCAUAAUGAACUUAGUCUGCUUUUGGGUUAUGAAGAAUUGAAACGUCAAACUAAGCUUAUUCUAGAAUAUAAGCUCGAGAAAUUCCUCGAUAUUGAUCUAGAAGAAAUUUUUAUGUAUUGUGCGGUGAAUUGCAUUGGAAAUCCUUAUAUUGCCAACUACAUAAAGAAAAUAAAACAAAUAGAAGAUGAAGAGAAUACUAAUGAAAGGGAAGAGACUUCCCAAUAUCCUCCUAUUAUUUCUUAUGAUGAAUCAGGUAACGAGGAGGAGCCUUCUAUUCAACCAAUUUCAUUAAUAAGGAGCUCCAAAAAGAGGAUUGAACCCACACAGGAUGUGGUGAAGAAGAAGAAAAGAAAAAGGAGGAGAGGUAAAAAGAUAUCUCUCCCAAAUAAUGUUGCUCCUAUUAUCGUUGUGCCUCAUGAGAAUGAAGAUGAUGCACUUGAUGAUGAUCUCGUUAUGCCUAUUGCUUGUUGUGAUGAUUAUGAUUGGGAAGAUAAUGAUACUUCUUAUGAUCUUGAAAAUCUUUUUGGCACUUGCUUGGAAGAAUAUGAUAAUAAUGUUUGCUAUACUAUUGGUGCUAUCCAUACUAUUAAUGAUGAGAGUGAUUAUGCUUAUGAUAUGAAAAGGCCCAAGCUUGGGGAUGCUAUGUUUGAUGAAGAUGAUGUUUUUGAGAAUAUAUUUGCUACUAUUAAUGAUGAGAGUGAUUAUGCUACAUUGCUACAUUCAAAAUGCUUGUUGAUGUCCACGAGCCAAUCAUCGGCAUCUGUGGCCUCGGCACAGUAGCUGAAAGACUUGGGCUGAUUUGCGAGAAACUGGUUGAGGGUAGCGAAGUGAGGCUGAUUGUUGCCUUGACCUUGAUUUCCUUGAUUGCCUUGCCCUUGGGUGCGUUCUUGCAAGAGUUGCAAAAUCAUCUGAGCAUUGGCGUUGGUGGCUGCCAUGAUAGCUUGCCAUGCCUCCGGAGGCGGAGGUGGUGGCGGAGGGUUCACCUGACUCUCUUCAUUGCGUUCCGGAUUCUGACGCGUUGGCGGAGCCAUUCUGAAGAGGGUAACAUCCGUUAGCAUCUUGAUAGACAAAUAGACAAGUAGAAUCAACAGAUAGAAAUUGCAACAUAUAGUCUUCACAAUAAACAUUCGAACGAGGAUGAACGAAUGAAUUCCAUUGUAAAUCAUCACACUUCCAUUAAGUUGAGAAGCCACUUAGAAAAAGGUAUGGAAUCAACAUUUGACUUCGAAGCAACUCGAAUACCACAAUUCAAAACAAAACAAAGUAUUGGCUUGCAGAAUAAGCCGGAACAAACAUAUGAUAGAGAUUUCGUCCGAAGUUUUCGUGGUGGGGCCCACACGGGCUCGAUCGUACAGCACCAUCAUGUACAAGGCAGUGCACAUGACAUACGAAGCGUCCCCGAGUCGGCAUAGCCAAGGACUCUUUAAGACACUACAAGACCACUGUAAAACUAACUGUGGAAAGGCGGACCACUAGACGUCGAACCCCAAUCUCAUAACAUGCGUCUGUCGGAAAGAUAUCCUAGGAGCUACUUGAAUUCCCACUUAUAAACUCCCGAAAAUUUCUGGUUAUGCAAUCUGGUGUUGGGGAUACAGGGGACACAAAAUAUAUCACCCAAACUAGCAAUCCCUAGAUCCAGCUGUAUCCAUCCGUCAACACAUAACCAAGAAGCCUUCGGAAAUCGUGUACCUCAACCUUCGAAAAGCAUCCGUUAUACGAGUUAGGGCAAUACUACCGAACUCCCGCCCCAGUACUGGGUGGCGUCGAGGUGAUCUCACCAACAACUGCAUAAAAGAGAUUUCGAUGUCGGCGAAACUCAGGUAUUCCAGAACUGCAACGAUAAAAUUGUGACGACAACACCUCGGAGCUCAACUCCCCGGGACACUGCCACAACCCCUAAAUGUCACGAGGCACCAAGAACAAUGUUCUCGUCACAAAACCAUCGGAACGAUUCCAAGAUACCCGCGUGAUCCUAAAUUUUUUUAGUGAAAUUUGAGGAGAGAAGAGGCAAAACUUCUACGUCAGGAGGCCUCACCAGAGCGACGAAGAGACUGAGGAGUAAAAAGAAUCCUACUCUCUGAUAUAUAUAAUCCUAAGACUCAAAACAUUUUGUUCUAGACUCAACAACGCCAGCGAUUCGAUCAAGCAGGGGGCUCCUAAGUCGGGGAUGGCUCUGAUUACCAACUUGUAACGCCCACGAUGCGGCUAUAUCUCCCACGUGUCGAGGCACGACUUAGAGGCAUAACCGCAUUGUGGUUUUGUCGCAAGAAGGGUCAUCUUCACACAAUCCCAUGUAAUGAACAAGAAUGGGAUAACGAGAGUUGGCUUACAAUCGCCACUUCACACAAUACAUAAAUUAAUACAUACAUCAUCCAAAAUCCACACAUAGACCGACUACGGUCAAAACAUAUUGAAAAUAAGAUAACUCCAAAUGCUAGAUCCCCGAUCGUCCCAACUGGGCUCCACUACUGAUCAUCAGGAAAAGAAACAUAGUAACGACCAUGUUCCUCGUCGAACUCCCACUUGAGCUCGGUUGUGUCAUCUGCACUGGCAUCGUCGGCACCUGCAACCGUUUUGGUAGAAUCUGUGAGUCACGAGGACUCAGCAAUCUCACACCCGCGAGAUCAAGACUAUUUAAGCUUAUAGGAAAGGAUGGUGUAAUGAGGUGGAGCUGCAGCAGGCACUAAGCAUAUAUGGUGGCUAACAUACGCAAAUGAGAGCGAGAAGAGAAGCAACGCAACAGUCGCGAAGCUAGAAAUGAUCAGGAAGUGAUCCUGAAACUACUUACGUUCAAGCAUAACUCAAAACGUGUUCACUUCCCGGACUCCGCCGAGAAGAGACCAUCACGGCUACACACACAGUUGAUGUAUUUUAAUUAAGUCAAGUGACAAGUUCUCUACAACCGGACAUUAACAAAUUCCCAUCUGCCUCAUAACCGCGGGCACGGCUUUCGAAAGAUAAUACCCUGCAGGGGUGUCCCAACUUAGCCCAUCAUAAGCUCUCACGGUCAACGAAGGAUAAACCUUCUCCCAGGAAGACCCGAUCAGUCUCGGAAUCCCGGUUUACAAGACAUUUCGACAAUGGUAAAACAAGACCAGCAAAGCCGCCCGAAUGUGCCGACAAAUCCCGAUAGGAGCUGCACAUAUCUCGUUCUCAGGGCACACCAGAUGAGCAGUCCGUACAACUAAAACCAGGCCUCAAGUUUCCCCGAGGUGGUGCUGCAAAGGGCUCUAGUUUGGACCAGCACUCAGAGGAACACUGGCCCGGGGGUUUAAAUAAAGAUGACCCUCGGGCUCGCGAAAAUCCAAGGGAAAAAGGCUUAGGUGGCAAAUGGUAAAACCAAGGUUGGGCCUUGCUGGAGGAGUUUUAUUCAAGGCGAACUAUCAAGGGGGUCCCAUAAAUCACCCAACCGCGUAAGGAACGCAAACUCAAGGAACAUAAUACCGGUAUGACGGAAACUAUAGCGGCAAGAGUGGAACAAAACACCAGGCAUAAGGCCGAGCCUUCCACCCUUUACCAAAUAUAUAGAUGCAUUAAUUAAAUAAGAGAUAUUGUGAUAUCCAAAAUAUCCAUGUUCCAUCAUGGAACCAACUUCAACUUCACCUGCAACUAGCAACGCUAUAAGAAGGGCUGAGCAAAAGCGGUAACUUAGCCAAACAACGGUUUGCUAGGAAAGGAUGGUUAGAGGCUUGACAUGGCAAUAUGGGAGGCAUGAUAUAGCAAGUGGUAGGUAGCGCAACAUGGCAAUAGAACGAACAACUAGCAAAGCAAAGAUAGAAGUGAUUUCGAGGGUAUGGUCAUCUUGCCUGUAAGGUUCUCAGAGUUGUCGAAAGCUUGAUCCUCGUAAGUGUACUCAAUAGGUUCCUCGUUCACGAACUCAUCUCCCGGCUCUACCCGAAACAAGAACACAAGCAACGGAACCACAAUCAAUCACGGGAAAUGCACAAGCAACAUGAUGCAAAACAUGUAUGAUAUGCGAGAUGUGGUAUGCGAUGCAUAUGCGUGCUCCGGAAGAAAAAAUGAUGAACAAGGCAGUAACUUGGCAAACCAAUCAUGCCACUGGAAAUAUGAGAUGAUUUCGGUUGAAAUCGAUAUAAAGAUCACCGGAAACGGAUGCACGGUUUGCAAAUGGCAAGCAAAACAAGAAUGACACGAUUCUGCGAUUAACAGCAUGAUAGCACUUAGAAUGCAACAAGCAGCUAUGCUACAGCACUCCAACAUAGCAACAGAACAUAUGGCAGUAAUCUAGAGGAGAUGCUUGACAAAAGAUGAACACUGAGCUACGGCUAGAUCACAACAUAACAGGUUCAAACAAGCAUGGCAAAAGUGCAAAAGAUAACAGGUUCACACACGGUGAAAUUACUGGACAUGGCAUAAACAGCAUCAGGUAGCAAUGUUCAGAGCAAGCAAUCAACAUGACACAGGAACUUAACAUAGCAAAACAAGGCAUGGAAUGAAUCUACUAAAUGCAUAUGACAAAAGUCCCUUAUUGACCAUAAGCCAAAAAGGGCCAGAAGAUAUGAUGGCAACCAUGUAAACAUAGCAAGUUUCGUUAACAGGUUCCAGACUUGGCAGAAAACAGAGCAUGGCAGAAACAGUAAUAUGAAGGCAUUUUGGUGAGCUUUAUUCACUCAUCACAAAGCAAUGCAUGACAAAACAAGCAUACCUACAGCAAUAUGGAAUGUUUAUGAAGCUAUCCAUGGCAAGAUCAAAUACAUAGCAUGAAUGGAUCAACUACAACAACCUUGGAAAAAUUGAAUAACACGUAAACAAUCUGCCAGAAAUAUUUUAUAGCAAAAGUAGAGCAAGAUUAGGACAUGCUAGGGCACUUCAUAAUUGCAAACAAGACAUGGAUGGAUAGAGCACAACUAUAUCUACAAAACAUCCCUACUGAACAUCUCCAAAAUAAGCAUGGAUCUCUCUGUAGCCACAUGGAUACAUAGCAACAAAAUAACAGCAGUCACAGACUUGGCAAAAUUACAAAGUCCCUGAAAUCAGAAACAUCACGAAGCCUAGUUUGCAUGCUUGUGCUAGUCACCACAUAGAUCAAACAAAUACAUGGCAUACAUAUCUGUAAAGAUGGCAUGACAUACAUCAAAACACCUGUAGAGCUCAUGCCCAUAAGAUGCACACAUCAAAUGCAACAAAAAUAACAAAUCCUCAUGUUCUGAUAAGUAACAGCAGUUAACAGCAUAUAGCACUCUUGCACCAGAGAUUUGGGCAUCAAGAUGGACUCAAAUGAACAUGGCAUAAUGGAACAAAAUGAAGAGCAUCUAGGGACGAACAUUUCUAUAUAUUACACGCACGAAACUGACCUACAUGCACAGAGUUAUGAUGCAAUGAACAGGAGCACAUAUUGUGCAAGAAAUAAGGGACUUAGAGAAUUUCGAGAGGGAGAAGAAAAAUCAACCGCUGCUGGGAUCUGGAUCGGGCCCGGUGGGACUUCGAGGCUGCCGGAGCUCCUCGCCGAAGCUCGAGAGGAGCAGGGCGGUCGCCGGCCGGAGGAGAGCUCGGGGCCAUCGGGGGAGGAGGCCGGCCGGAGGAGGAGCUCGGGGAAGAGGUGCGGGGCGCGGCGCCGGCGGGCAGAGGCGGUCGGCGGCGGGCGGACGCCGGCGCGGCGAGNNNNNNNNNNNNNNNNNNNNNNNNNNNNNNNNNNNNNNNNNNNNNNNNNNNNNNNNNNNNNNNNNNNNNNNNNNNNNNNNNNNNNNNNNNNNNNNNNNNNUUCUUCUGGAAGAAUUGUUCACGUGCUAGAAAAUAUAUUUCCACAUAUGUAGAAAUGUCAAUGUAUUUUUUAUCAUGUUGUUGCGAGGAAAAUGUUGUAAAAAAAUCCAUGUAUAUGAAAUAAAAAAUGUUCAUAGCGUAUUACUCCCUCCGUUUCUAAUUAUAAGUCUUUUAAGACAUUUUAAAUGGACUACAACAUAUGGAUGUAUGUAGACAUAUUUUAAAAUAUAUAUUCAUUCAUUUUGCUUCGUAUGUAGUCACUUGUUGAAAUCUCUAGAAAGACUUAUAUUUGGGAAUGGAGGAGUAAAAAACAGUGCACCUGUAUGGAAAAAUAUUCAUGCAUUUGAAAAAAUGUUCAUGCAUUUGAUAAUAGUUGUUGUCUAUGUUAGAAUAUAUAAGUUCAUGUUAUUUUGGGGAAGAAUAUUAACAUUUUUUACAUGUAUAUUAGAAUGUGUAUUCAAGCAAAUCCAAACAAGAAGAACAACACUAACGCCCACACGUGUGGUGGGAGCUAAAUCCGUCAACACGUCUUAUAACACACAGACUGCGACACGUCACCGCAUGCAUGCAUGUGGGCAUUUUUUAGGAUUUUCAGUUUUAAAAUGUUUUGUCUCUUAAAUGAAAAAUCUGAUUGAAGAUCCGUUUUCACCAUUAAAUCCCUCGCGAUGAGAUCUUCGAAACUAGAUCUCAUAUCAAUAUAUUUUGACAAAAAAAAAAUUAUGUUAAAAGUUGUCAUGUCUAUUGCAUAUGAAUUGCCAUGAUGUUUACAUUGAAGUUGUCGUGAUAUGUUUCAGCUAUUUUCUUCUACAUUUGAAAGUAAAUUUUGACAUAUUAUAAAACGGGAAUUAAGAAACUAGACUUGCC